rnacentral:lncRNA from 1 species
CUUCACAUUUUUCUUUCUUGCAGGUUUGAAAUACUGUCUCCUCCCCACUCACUGCCUUUGCCAUAAGUAACUGUCUUCCCGGAGCCACCUGAGAGACGCUCCUGUCUGGGGAGUCCUGGCCUGACCGGGAUGUAAUUUGUUAAGGAGUAUUUAAACACAACAGAGUCCCAGAGUAAAUGGGCACUGUGCUGCCCAAGGAGGUGAUUUAAUUAUUAGGAUCAUUCUUCAGGCCAUUCUUAAUCUCAGGCCUGCCUCUCUUAUCCGCACAUCUUAUGACAGGACACAGCGUAAAUAUCAGAAUCAAUAAAUUACAAGUUUGCAAGGACGCAGGCCAAACAACAGUAACCUGGUUACUGGGCACCAAAGCCAGCUUCUCCUUAGAAACCUCAACCCUGGAGUAGGAAGUCAGGGUAGUGGGAUGUAUUCUUGUUAUAGGGCACAAGCCGUUCUGAAAUUAAAAGAAUGGAGGUUGGUCUUAAAAUCUGGGAUCCAGUUAUGGGGACAACUCCCCAUCCAAGAGAGGGGCUCCAAGGCCCAGAGCACGUGUAGCCCCCAUGGGAGGCUGGGGGCCUCCACCUAGCAUCAGACCAACAAGGAAGCAGUUGGAACCAAUGGAGACGUUCCCAGUACACAACCAAGCAGAGCAGGUGUGUUGAGGAGGCUCCACCCGGGGCCUCUCUGAGCCGCCUGUCCUCGCUGUUUCUCAUCAGAUGCUGGGUAAGUGGCACCCAGCCCUGUGGCCUCUCCUGGCGCCAUUCUCACCAGGGCUACCAGGCCCCACCUCCAAGUUCCUGGCAGCCUUGGAUCUCCUUGCAGUUUACACUAGCCACUGACGGGAGCUCCCUGAGUCCUCUGCGUGAUUUUGCAGUCAACCUCCACCCCAGACACUGCUGUGAACAUUGUGUUCUGGGGGCACACGGGCCAGCAUCUCCCGAUCUCCCUUCACUUGGCUCUGAUCUCUCCCUGUCCUCAGGGCUCCAGACUUCCUCUGCUGUGUUUGGCCUGGAGCAUUCCCAGGCUUAA